GGAUGUGAGGGCGAUUUGGCUGUGACCUCUGUCACCCCACUGAGUAAGAGGGUUGAUUCAGCUAAUCUAGCUGGCUAGGUAGGUGUCCCCUUCCUCCCUCACUGCCCCAUGUGUGUCCUUCCCAAAGCUGCACACUUGGUCAAAGAGGACAACCAUCCCCAAUAGAGGAGGACCAUUUUUCAAUCAAGGGUAUACAAGUAGCUAUGCUCCCCUGCUAGAAUGCCCAAACAAGCUCUCAAAGGGAACAAAAUAAAUCUUGGAUAUGAAAAGUUCAAUAAUCACAUUCAGACAGU
rnacentral:snRNA from 1 species